UCUCUUUCUCUUUCUCUUUCUCUUUCUCUCUUUCUCUGCAACUCUCUUCUUUGAUGUGAUUCUCCACCAUAUCUCUAAGAACCCAUCAACCUUUACAAAAAGAUAGAAAUCUCAUUAACCACCAUGGUUUUCUCAUCCAUUCCUGUCUAUCUUGAUCCACCCAACUGGCAACAGCAACCUGCAGGAGGCAACAGUGAGAACUCGCAGCUCCAACUACCGCCGCUACCUAGUUUUGGUGGCGGCGGUGGCGGUAGUGGCGCUGGCUCAAUCAGACCUGGUUCGAUGGCGGAGCGAGCUCGAAUGGCUAAGAUUCCUCAACCUGAAACAGCCCUAAAAUGUCCAAGAUGUGAUUCUACAAACACUAAAUUUUGUUACUUCAAUAACUACAGCCUUUCACAGCCUCGCCACUUUUGCAAGACCUGUCGCCGAUACUGGACUAGAGGUGGUGCACUAAGAAACGUACCAGUCGGAGGUGGCUGUAGAAGAAACAAAAGAAGCAAAGGAAGCAGAUCGAAAUCACCUGCUGUAGCCGACGGUCAAACCGGGUCAACCUCAUCUAGUACACUUGCUUCUACUCGUUGCACAACUGAUAUCAUCGGCCACAUGCCACCUCCGCCCUCACAAUUACCAAUUUUGCCCCCUUUACAUCAUCUUAGUGGCUACAAUUCGGGGGGUAUUGGUUUGAAUUUUGGGGGAAUUCAAUCUCCUGGGGUGCCAACUGCUAUUGGCGGUGGUAAUAGUGGCAAUAAUGAUGUUGAAUUUCAGGUUGGUGGUGCUUCAGGUGGUGUUAGUGGUGGUGCUGGUGGUUCUUCUUUAUUUUCAAGUGCGCUUUUUGAGCAGUGGAGAUUGCAACAGGUGCAACAAUAUCCUUUCAUGACUGGCAUGGAACCAACGACUGGUUUGUAUCAGUUCGAGAGUGAGGGUACGGUGGCGCCUAGUAGUUAUGUUGCUCAGCUUCGGUCAAAGCCAAUGGAUUCUGGGGUUACUCAGUCGGCAAAUGUGAAAAUGGAACAAAAUCAAGGGCUAAAUUUAUCACGAAAUUUUUUGGGUAUAUCAGGAAAUGAUCAAUAUUGGAAUACUAGCAAUGCAUGGACAGAUCUCUCUGGAUUCACUUCAUCUUCCACCAGCCAUCUCUUAUGAUAUUUUUUAAUCUCAAUAGUCCUCUCUUAAAAAGAAACCCCACUCUUGCUUUGUGAUUAAUUAUUAUAUUUCUUCUUUUCCUUUGGACUAUAAGAGGUUCCAAAAACGAGAAAUCAGUUUCUGAUCACAAAACUUUGAAACGAGAAGGCCCUAAGUCUCAAGAUCAAACCACUAAAGAUCGUAAGAAGUUGACAUGGAAAUUAUGGAUAUCGCUGAAAGAAAUUUAGAACGCAUUUUCAGAGAAGAGCUCAUGUAGUCAUGUCAUUUCAUAUCAAAGCCUCUGCAAAACAAAAAAAGAGAGUUCAGUCUUCAUUUUUGUACAAAAUCAGAGUGUGUGUGUUGAGUUGGACAAGAAGUCGCAGCUAAAGAAACGCCAAAAUGCCACUAAAAACCAUGCAAAAGAAGGCAUGUCGUUGGAUUCUCCAAGUUUUGUUGUUUGCAAAUUCCAAACGUAAGACCACAUCAACACAAGAGUCAAAAGUUUCACUAGAAGAACAAAAUUCUCAGACUUUCUUAACCUUUUGUUUGAUUUCGGUUCCCUCCUUUAUAUAUAUAUAAUCGCAAAAUUUUCAACCCAUUUAUUCAUAUUUGUGAUCAUGAUGUCACUGUAAUACUUCUUUUUGGUUAAUUGCUUAUUAAAUGAGAGAUUG